UACGGAGGGGGCUGGCGUUGUUCGGAAUUACUGGGCGUAAAGCGCACGUAGGCGGCUUUGUAAGUUAGAGGUGAAAGCCCGGGGCUCAACUCCGGAAUUGCCUUUAAGACUGCAUCGCUAGAAUUGUGGAGAGGUAAGUGGAAUUCCGAGUGUAGAGGUGAAAUUCGUAGAUAUUCGGAAGAACACCAGUGGCGAAGGCGACUUACUGGACACAUAUUGACGCUGAGGUGCGAAAGCGUGGGGAGCAAACAGG
rnacentral:rRNA from 1 species